AUGGAGCCGACCUUGAAAUACCACCCUUUAAUGUUUGAUGUUCUAACGUUGACCCGUAAUCCGGGUUGCGGACAGUGUCUGGUGGGUAGUUUGACUGGGGCGGUCUCCUCCUAAAGAGUAACGGAGGAGCACGAAGGUUGGCUAAUCCUGGUCGGACAUCAGGAGGUUAGUGCAAUGGCAUAAGCCAGCUUGACUGCGAGCGUGACGGCGCGAGCAGGUGCGAAAGCAGGUCAUAGUGAUCCGGUGGUUCUGAAUGGAAGGGCCAUCGCUCAACGGAUAAAAGGUACUCCGGGGAUAACAGGCUGAUACCGCCCAAGAGUUCAUAUCGACGGCGGUGUUUGGCACCUCGAUGUCGGCUCAUCACAUCCUGGGGCUGAAGUAGGUCCCAAGGGUAUGGCUGUUCGCCAUUUAAAGUGGUACGCGAGCUGGGUUUAGAACGUCGUGAGACAGUUCGGUCCCUAUCUGCCGUGG
rnacentral:rRNA from 1 species